rnacentral:rRNA from 1 species
GUACUCGAGCGGCGAACGGGUGAGUAACACGUGAGUAACCUGCCCUAGGCUUUGGGAUAACCCUCGGAAACGGGGGCUAAUACCGGAUAUGACCUUCUUCCGCAUGGUGGGGGGUGGAAAGUUUUUCGGCCUGGGAUGGGCUCGCGGCCUAUCAGCUUGUUGGUGGGGUGAUGGCCUACCAAGGCGACGACGGGUAGCCGGCCUGAGAGGGCGACCGGCCACACUGGGACUGAGACACGGCCCAGACUCCUACGGGAGGCAGCAGUGGGGAAUAUUGCACAAUGGGCGGAAGCCUGAUGCAGCGACGCCGCGUGAGGGAUGACGGCCUUCGGGUUGUAAACCUCUUUCAGCAGGGACGAAGCGCAAGUGACGGUACCUGCAGAAGAAGCACCGGCCAACUACGUGCCAGCAGCCGCGGUAAGACGUAGGGUGCGAGCGUUGUCCGGAUUUAUUGGGCGUAAAGAGCUCGUAGGCGGCUUGUCGCGUCGACCGUGAAAACUUGGGGCUCAACCCCAAGCCUGCGGUCGAUACGGGCAGGCUAGAGUUCGGUAGGGGAGACUGGAAUUCCUGGUGUAGCGGUGAAAUGCGCAGAUAUCAGGAGGAACACCGGUGGCGAAGGCGGGUCUCUGGGCCGAUACUGACGCUGAGGAGCGAAAGCGUGGGGAGCGAACAGGAUUAGAUACCCUGGUAGUCCACGCUGUAAACGUUGGGCGCUAGGUGUG